GGAGGGCCAUAGCUCAGUGGUAAAAGCAUCUGUUUUAUCUGCAGAAGGGUCCAGGUUUAAUCCCCGGCGUCUCCA